UUCUCCAAAUCAAACCCUUUCUGCACGAUUGUCUUCUCCAACGUCCGCCGCUGUACAACCUCAAGCGCCACGCCUCUUCAUGUUUCCUCCGUUCCAAAGCUAUCGUCUCGUUUACGUCUGAAACCGUCUAAUCAGUCAUGCUUUCUCUUUCAAUAGUAGUCCCACUACUUACCAUUCAAUUUUGUGUUACUUCAAUUGCUAUAUAAUGCCCUCUUCUCCAAUUUCAUUCAUCUAUUUCAUUCACCUUAUAAUUUCUUCACUAUCUGAAAAUUCUCUUAUCUAUUAUGGAUUCCAGUGUUGGUUUAUUCUUUGUGUCUUAAUGCAGCUGAAAAGGUAGUCAAGGGUUUGGACGAUAACAUAUUGGAUGGAGAUGCUCUGGCUAGAUUUGGUGCUCGUGAGUCUGAGAAAUUCCGCUUCGUGGGAGUGGACCGAUGAGAUGCUAAAAGGAGACGCCCCACCGAUGAGAAUUAUGAUCCGAGGACACUCUACCUUCCUCCUGAUUUUGUGAAAAAGUUGACUGGAGGCCAGAGACAAUGGUGGGAGUUUAAAUCAAAGCAUAUGGACAAAGUUGUAUUCUUCAAGAUGGGUAAAUUCUAUGAGCUUUUUGAGAUGGAUGCACAUGUAGGAGCCAAGGAGCUGGAUAUCCAGUACAUGAAGAUUCUUGAGGUUCUUCAGGUUUGGCUUUGGCUUACGCCGAAGAUAGCAUGAGAUGGUUGGACUCCAACAGCGGGUGAAGUUAGCACAAUCCAUGAACUCGAGCAUAGCAUAGCCUGCGAGAAUAAUUUAUAUAGUCAACAAUCAGCAUAUGGUUUCAAGAGCAAUGAUAUGGUGAGAACAUGUUUGAAGAUCUUUUAACCUUUGAAAUAAUGGCUCCUCCUGUUGAAUGGCCAACACAGAAACAGGGCAAUCCCAGGUUUUCUGCAAUAACCUUCUCAAGAAACGAUUUCUGCAAACAUUUUUAUUUCAGUCA